UGCUAGCUAGCUGUUUUUCUAACUUCAGCCAGUGCAAGGCAGGAUUAGCUGGGAGACUUUUUCUAAACGAGAGGCCCACUUCCAACUUGGCGUGGAAUACCUGCAGAACAGGGACAUCCACUCCUCAUCAGUGUCGUCGCUGUACUCAUCAUCUCGUGAGUCGGAGGGGAAUUUCCUGGACUAUUCUAUUAGCCUACGAUUGAUGAACUGAGCAUAUACUGAGGACCCUUUCACUGGACAUAAAUGUCGGACUUCAACUCGCACGUUGGGAAAAGACGAACAACAUUUCACUGGUAAUAGACCACCACCAGAGAGAGGAGCUUCUUUCACAUUUCAAAGGAGGAAUACAAAGGCACAGAGUGAAGCAAGCAAAGUACUGUCGGCAAUGGCAUUCAAGAGUACGAAAUGGGUUGUUUCGAUAUUUGUUUUCUCAACCCGGACCCAGUUCAUGCGUGCGUUUAAAGUUCGUCCGGUAUUGAGCCAUGACGCUGUAUCCGGAAACCACACAAUCCAAGCUUUCUUCAAAAGUUGACAUUCUCAGCGUGUAACGUUGGUCAGAGGUUCCUAAGUGACUGAUGGGAAUAACAAUCUUUGACCAAUGUCAAAGAUUGUUAUUCUGCAGCGAUCUCUCUUAAUACUGGACCGGUCCAGUAUUAAGAGAGAUCGCUGCAGUCGGCAGCGGCGUAACCAGCUAAAAUGUA